rnacentral:rRNA from 1 species
CUGUCGACGGCCCCAACCACAAACUCUUGUACUUAAACGUGUCGUCUGAGUUAACAAACAAAAUAAAUUAAAAACUUUCAACAACGGAUCCGUUGGUUCUGGCAUCGAUGAAGAACGCAGCGAAAUGCGAUAACUAAUGCGAAUUGCAGAAUCCGUGAGCAUCGAAUCUUUGAACGCACAUUGCGCCCUCUGGUAUUCCGGAGGGCAUGCCUGUUCGAGCGUCAUUAUCACCCCUCAAGCCCGGCUUGUUGUUGGACGCGGCGGCGCCUUUGCGCCCCGCCCGUCUCAAAGAUAAUGACGGCGUCUGCGAGGACCCCUGUACACUGAGCUUUCGGGCACGUACUAGGUGUGGAAUCCAGACCCGGUCACCGUCCCUCAGGGACAAACUUUUAACCAGGUUGACCUCGGAUCAGGUAGGAAUACCCGCUGAACUUAAGCAUAUCAAUAAGCGGAGGAAAAGAAACCAACAGGGAUUGCCUUAGUAACGGCGAGUGAAGCGGCAACAGCUCAAAUUUGAAAUCUGGUCCUUCGGGGCCCGAGUUGUAAUUUGGAGAGGAUGUUUCGGGCACGGUCCGGGUUAAAUUUCUUGGAACAGAAUGUCACGGAGGGUGAGAAUCCCGUCUGGAGCUCGGACACGACCCAUGUGAAACUCCUUCGACGAGU